rnacentral:rRNA from 1 species
GUAAGGAAUAUUGGUCAAUGGGAGCAAGCCUGAACCAGCCAUGCCGCGUACAGGAAGACGGCCCUACGGGUUGUAAACUGCUUUUGUACCGGAAUAAACCUUUUCACGUGUGAGAAGCUGAAUGUACGGUAAGAAUAAGGAUCGGCUAACUCCGUGCCAGCAGCCGCGGUAAUACGGAGGAUCCAAGCGUUAUCCGGAUUUAUUGGGUUUAAAGGGGUGCGUAGGCGGUUCUUUAAGUCAGGGGGUGAAAGACGGUAGCUUAACUAUCGCAGUGCCUUUGAUACUGAAGAACUUGAAUACACUUGAGGUAGGCGGAAUGUGACAAGUAGCGGUGAAAUGCAUAGAUAUGUCACAGAACACCAAUUGCGAAGGCAGCUUACUAAAGUGUCAUUGACGCUGAGGCACGAAAGCGUGGGGAUCAAACAGGAUUAGAUACCCUGGUAGUCCACGCCCUAAACGAUGAAUACUCGAUGUUGGCGAUAUACGGUCAGCGUCUAAGCGAAAGCGUUAAGUAUUCCACCUGGGGAGUACGCCCGCAAGGGUGAAACUCAAAGGAAUUGACGGGGGCCCGCACAAGCGGAGGAGCAUGUGGUUUAAUUCGAUGAUACGCGAGGAACCUUACCCGGGCUUGAAAGUUAGUGAAUGAGACAGAGACGUCUCAGUCCUUCGGGACACGAAACUAGGUGCUGCAUGGCUGUCGUCAGCUCGUGCCGUGAGGUGUUGGGUUAAGUCCCGCAACGAGCGCAACCCCUGUGAAUAGUUGCCAGCACGUAAUGGUGGGGACUCUAUUCAGACUGCCUAUGCAAAUAGAGAGGAAGGAGGGGACGACGUCAAGUCAUCAUGGCCCUUACGUCCUGGGCUACACACGUGCUACAAUGGAUGGUACAGCGGGCAGCUACCUGGCAACAGGAUGCCAAUCUCGUAAAGCCAUUCACAGUUCGGAUCGGGGUCUGCAACUCGACCCCGUGAAGUUGGAUUCGCUAGUAAUCGCGUAUCAGCAAUGACGCGGUGAAUACGU